rnacentral:rRNA from 1 species
CAGUCGCCGCGGUAAUACGUAGGGCGCAAGCGUUAUCCGGAAUUAUUGGGCGUAAAGAGCUCGUAGGCGGUUUGUCGCGUCUGCCGUGAAAGUCCGGGGCUCAACCCCGGAUCUGCGGUGGGUACGGGCAGACUAGAGUGAUGUAGGGGAGACUGGAAUUCCUGGUGUAGCGGUGAAAUGCGCAGAUAUCAGGAGGAACACCGAUAGCGAAGGCAGGUCUCUGGGCAUUAACUGACGCUGAGACGCGAAAGCGUGGGGAGCAAACAGGAUUAGAUACCCGGGUAGUCCCUGUCUCUUAUAC